GGGAGGAAAAGAAACUAACAAGGAUUUUCUUAGUAGCGGCGAGCGAAAAGAAAUCAGUUCAGCACUAAGUCACUUUGUCUUUAUGGCAAAUGUGAGAUGCAGUGUAUGGAAUGUUCAAUUUCUAGUAUGAGAAAUUAACGAUUUAAGUCCUUCUUAAAUGAGGCCAUUUACCCAUAGAGGGUGCCAGGCCCGUAUAACGUUAAUGAUUACUAGAGAACAUUUCCAAAGAGUCGUGUUGCUUGAUAGUGCAGCACUAAGUGGGUGGUAAACUCCAUCUAAAACUAAAUAUAACCAUGAGACCGAUAGUAAACAAGUACCGUGAGGGAAAGUUGAAAAGAACUCUGAAUAGAGAGUUAAAUAGUACGUGAAACUGCUUAGAGGUUAAGCCCGAUGAACCUGAAUAUCCAUUAUGGAAAAUUCAUCAUUAUGAUUGUGAUAUGAAUAAUAUUAUAAUAAUGGUGUGCAUUUUUUCCAUAUAAGGACAUUGUAAUCUAUUAAUAUACAUAUAUUUAUCAUAAGAUUAGCGACUUUAGUUUAUUCAAAUUAUUUUGCUUGCAUUUUAACAUAGAAUAAAUGUUGUUGAUUUGAUAAAGUGUUGAUAGAUUUAUUCUAUAUAGUGCUUGAAUAUUUAUAUUCUAUAAUAGCAUGGUAAUCAUGAUUAUUGUGUUUAUUAUAUGCACUUAUAUGAUUAACAAUGCGAAAGAUUCAGGAUACCUUCGGGACCCGUCUUGAAACACGGACCAAGGAGUCUAACAUAUUUGCAAGUUAUUGGGAAUUAAAAACCUAAUAGCGAAAUUAACAUAACUUAUAUAAUGGGAUUAGUUUUUAUACUAUUUAUAGUUUAUUAAUUCAAUCCCGGGGCGUUCUAUCAGUUAUGUAUAAUAGUAUUUAUAUUAUUUAUACCUCUAACUAGAGCGUACCUUGAGCAUAUAUGCUGUGACCCGAAAGAUGGUGAACUAUACUUGAUCAGGUUGAAGUCAGGGGAAACCCUGAUGGAAGACCGAAACAG
rnacentral:rRNA from 1 species